GCAUCGAUGAAGAACGCAGCGAMAUGCGAUACUUGGUGUGAAUUGCAGAAUCCCGUGCACCAUCGAGUCUUUGAACGCAAGUUGCGCCUGAAGCCGUUAGGUUGAGGGCACGUCUGCCUGGGUGUCACAC
rnacentral:rRNA from 1 species